GGACUACACGGGUUUCUAAUCCCGUUCGCUCCCCUGGCUUUCGCGCCUCAGCGUCAGAUGAGAUCCAGCAGGCCGCUUUCGCCACCGGCGUUCCUUCCGAUAUCAACGCAUUUCACCGCUCCACCGGAAGUUCCGCCUGCCCCUACCUCCCUCGAGACAAGCGGUAUCCAAGGCCCUUUUCCGGUUAAGCCGAAAGAUUUCACCCCGGACUCGCUUGCCCGCCUACGCGCCCUUUAAGCCCAGUGAAUCCGAACAACGUUCGCACGGUUCGUCUUACCGCGGCUGCUGGCAC
rnacentral:rRNA from 1 species